rnacentral:lncRNA from 1 species
GCCUGAAGCCGCUAGAUAGAAACUCCCCUAGAAUGUAAGCUCCGGGGGGGAGGGAGCUUUGUUUGAUGGCUGCUGUAUUCCCAGUGCCCAUUGAAGUACUGGGGACACAUUAGAUGCUUAAUAAACAGCUGUUGAGUUAAUCAACGGACUCUAGGAAUGGAGGCAGACCGGCCCUUCUGGAACUGGAGAAAGGACAAGGCCACAUUUCACCGUCUCCUCUGUUCUUGGUACCAGCCCUGGCGUCCCCGGCAACGCCAAUCCUUCUCACAUCCAGCUUGUGCCAAGUUUUCCUCCCUGCUCGUGUUUACACCUUCUCCCCUUUGUCUCUGUUUCCUGCUGGCCCCUGUGUGUAAGCACCCCAGCAGUCAGAGUGAGAGGAAGACGAAAGAAGCAGAAUUCUGGAAAUAGAGAGCUACCAGGGUGGCCUCUUCCUUCUGGAAGGACACGGAAAGAUGGGGUGAGACUGGCGCUCUUCUUCAGCUCCUCCCUUUGGGAAUUGGGACUUUGAGCUUCAGUUUCCUCACUUUGAAAUAGCAGCUAUUCCACCUGCCUCGCAGGAUUGUUGCAAGAAGUCAGGCAGGAGGCUGAAAAGUUCUGGAGCACAUGAUAGGUGCUACAGAAACGUUCGUUUCGUCUCCUGACUAGCAUCCAACAGUCUGGGAGUGCCCCAGGUGUGGCUGAGGGUGGUUAUGGUUUGAUAACCACCACCAGAACACCCCUCCUUUUUUCACAAAAUGCCUUGAGGAGAAUUUAAUGGCUGUCGAAAAUUAAGGCAAGCUUCAUUUCUAAAACAUUCAGGAGUCAAUAUGUUGUGAGUCAUGUAUUCCGUCGGGGCCUCCACUCACUCCGGAGGGAGCUUUUCCAAGUAAUUAAACAACGAUGUCGUGAUCAAGCUGAAGUCCACCAGCCCCAGCCUUUCCAUUCGGGACCUUCUCCUGCACAUGCUGCAGCUGCCUCCAAGACUACUGCGAUGGAGAUGAGCAGAUUCUUCCUUCAGUUGUAGAGGGAGACACUGCGAAAACCUAAUGCUGUCAAUAACGCUUUUCAUCUCGAAAGGAAGGAUCCGAUUUCACUCUUUUCAGCCUGAUUUAAGGACCCACCAGAAAAAAACAAACUUCAUGGGGUAAUUAGGAAAUUAUCCUCUUACAAAUUGGUAGAUGUCGUCUUUUUUUCCUUGGGACAAGACAGAAAGGACAUUGUUUGUCUUUUACCAUGGUGAAGCUGCUGCGAUUAACCAUGCCACCUGGGGAAUGGUUCACUUGUGGGUAAGCUGAUAGCCUGCUGUUCCAGGGUGCGCCUGCCAAGGUACUCCAGAAUAACAUGUUACAUCCUCUGUGCACCCCUUCCCGAUGAAAGGAAAACUUCAAUCACAUUUAGUUAAAGGAGCCCUUUAAACCUGGCCUGUCAAUAUCCUGGAGGUGGAGAAUUACACCAAGGUUAAGAAAAGGUUUCCCAGAACUGGCUAGACAUGUAUUUGUUUAAAGGGAUUAGGUGCAUUCAGUCUGGGCCUGAUCAAUACUGCCUGUUUUGGGGUUUGUGGAAAACAGUGCAAAUAUCCAGAGAGAGCCUAGGAAGUCCCUAAAGACCCAAGGAAGGAUUUUUUUUUUCUAUUUGAUAACAAGGAGAAAUCCCUACUGUACAGUUUCCAAAUCCUGACCUGUUUUAACUUAGGAAUCUUGUGAAAAGUUAUUGUAAAUAUAGACCAAAAGGCCAAUGCUAAAAUUGGAAUUAACAUCAACCUCCGCCUUUCACUCUGACAUAUUCUGUCUCACUCCUUUCUUACCUCUCCUGCUCUCUGUCUUACUCUGUCUCUCUGUGUCUCUCUGUGUGUCUCUCUCAUACACACACAAAGCAACAACCCAACAGGCUUGACAAACCUUAGAUUCAUUAAGAGUCUUCUGAAGUUUUCAAUAUGCUAAAAGAUGUACCGUAAGAAUAUAUGUGUGUAUGCGCAUAUAUGUUAGCAUUUCUGUUUAGCACUUGGUAUACUCCAAAAGCUCUUACACACAUUUUCUCACUGUGGCAGGUGUUAUUAUCCACAAUUUUACCAAAGAGUAGACUGAGACUGAGACUCGGGGAGGUGAAGUGACUUGGGUAACAGUGUGCCGUCAGGGUACGGUACAGCCAGGAGUGAAUCUGCCCUCCCAGCACAUUAGAAAUGACCAUCAUCUCAUGCAGCUCUGCAUGAAAAGACUCCCAUAGUUAAAUUACCACUCUAUAGUAAAGCCCUGAUUGCAGUUUCAUCUGCGUCCCCUUCCAGAAGUAUUUGCAAUUCAUUAUCCAAAUGAGAAAAGCUGUUAGUAAAAAUUUCAGGUACCAGUAACAGGCUAAAUAAACAAACAUUAGGGUUUAAGAUGAGUCAGGGACUCUUGAGUUGCGAAAGUUGGCAGGAGUUUUGUUUCUAGGAGCCUCUACAAGCCUCCUGGAUGCCACUCUGCCUUCAGCCUCUCCCCUUCCAAUCUGCUCUAUGCGGUGCGGACUACUUGCCUCAACAGACCCAGACAUACGAGCAUCAGAAGGGAGGACUCCCUAGCGCAGUGGCUCCCUGAGUGUGGUCCCAGGACUGGCAGAAGCAGCAUCACCUGGGAGCUUAAUAGAGAUGCCAAUCCUCAGGCCCUGCCCCAGUGCUGCUAAAUCAGAAACUAUGGGAGAGGGGCCCAGCGAUCUGUGUUUUAACAAGCCUUCCUGGUAAUGCUGGUACACACUAAAGUGUGAGUACCACUGACUAUUGCCUACAAGAGAGUGCCCAGACACCUCCCAGACCUCCCUAACUGAACCUAACAGGUUCCUCUCCUCUAACCACACUCACCUAACACUCACUGUUCUCUGAACAUUUCUUUUUCAUGUAUCUUUGAUGCCCUGUUCCUGUCAUUUUGAAUGGCAUUUCCUUCUUCCCUGCCUGACAAACUUGUAUUUAUCAUUUAAAGCCCAAUUCAAAGAUCUCUCCCUCUCGAGACUUCACGUGUUUUCUCUCUGCUGAGUUUUAGUUACUCCUUCCGUACCUCCCCUGAUGGCACCCGUGCAUACCUCAAUAGCAUCACCACAUCGCGUUCUUUGGCAUGAGACUCAUGGUGGACUGGAAUCUCAAGGUAGCCCCCGUACGUAGUGUUGUGCCAGGAAUGUAG